AAAAUAAAAUUUCUUCAAACAUUUUUUUGAGAGGAUUAAUAUUCAACAGCAUAGUGAAUUGCUCAAAGGCAAAAAAAAUAUUUUAAGUCUCAUUAGACCACAUUCAUUCUGUUUCAGAAACCUAUGCUGUGUCAACUAUUUAAUCACAAUCCAAAUUUAGAGCUGAAUCCAGCUUGAAUGUUGUGUCCAUACUUGCCCCAACCGUUCAGGUUUCAACCUCUGCGGUCGUAUAAAGCUGCG
rnacentral:lncRNA from 1 species